rnacentral:rRNA from 1 species
AGUGUUCAAAGCGGGCAGAUAUUUUUCCUGCCACCGAAUACAUUAGCAUGGGAUAAUGGAAUAGGACCCUGACCUCCUAUUUUCAGUUGGUUUUGUUUACAGCGAGGUUAUAUCAGGGUAAUGAUUAAUAGGGAUAGUUGGGGGCAUUAAUAUUUAAUUGUCAGAGGUGAAAUUCUUGGAUUUAUGAAAGAUUAACUUCUGCGAAAGCGUUUGCCAAGGAUGUUUUCAUUAAUCAAGAACGAAAGUUAGGGGAUCGAAGACGAUCAGAUACCGUCGUAGUCUUAACCAUAAACGAUGCCGACCAGCGAUUAGGAGACGUUGAAUACAAAACACCGCCGUUAAUCCUUUCGGGGGUUAAUGGUUGGUGAAUGACUCCCUAGCAGCUUG